GGAGGUGUAGUUCAGUGGUAAAGUACUUACUUAGUACGUGUGAAGUCUUGGGUUUGAUUCCCAGCACCACAA
rnacentral:tRNA from 1 species